UCUACUUUGAGUUAAUUUUUAUAUAUGGUGUAAGAAAAUAGUCCAGUUUCAUUAUUUUACAUAUAACUAUCCAGUUUUAUCAGCACCAUUGGUUGAAAAGACUGUGUUUUCCUUAUUGUAUAUUUUUGCCUCCUUUGUCAUAGGUUAAUUAAUCAUAUAAAUGUGGAUUUAUUUAGGGGGUCUCUAUUCUGUUCUUAAUAAAAUAGAAUUAAGUUCUCUUCCUAAUUUGUUGAUCUAUCAGCUGCAAAUGUUAACCCCCAAGUAUAUAUAGUUUGUUUCCUCUGGAGAAAAGAGUUUUAUGAAGUUGAUAACCACUGUGUAAAGUAUAUUACCAACCUGUCAGUAUGUCUGUGUGCUAUGUCUAGUAUCCUGGGUGUUAGAGAAUGCCAGUGUUCCACCUAUCAAAGUCAUUAUAGAUAGAGAUUACCUGUGAUAUGCCAGGGCCUGGGGAUUCAGUACUGAAUACAACAGAUGAUCCUACCCUCAUGGAGGUGACAUUUAAGUGGGAGGAUAAACAUUAUGAUUUUAUAGACAUGGAUCUCAUUCUUCUUAGUCCUCUACCUACUUCAUCUUUCUCUUUGAUAAUAUGAUCAUUUAUAUUCUCCAUGAAAUAUUUUCCAAAGACUCCAGAAAUAUUAUUGGUAGGAUUCAUUUGGAGUAUAUACAUUUGUAAUUUUGUAUUGCCAUCUACUUUUUUAUGUGCAAAUGCCUUUUCUCCAUAGCUAGAUCUGAUCAUGUUUCUACUCACUAAACCUCUGAAACCAAAUAUGUGGUGUUUUCCUUCCAUCCAAUAACCAAUUCUCUAAUUUUCUCUAUAUGACUUGAAUAUCCUACAAUUCAAUCCAGUUCUGUCACUAAGUACUUGGAGUUGGCACAUAUCUUAUAAGUCAAGGGCUCAGGCCCACAAGAUUAUCCCAUUUCAGAUGCCCAUGGUAAGUCUCAGGUUUCCUUCUGUACUGCUGACCAACCAGUUAUAAAUUCAGGGGAUUCUCACAACUCCCUCUUCAGGUUUGAUAAUUUGCUAGAAGGGCUCACAGAACACAGGAAAAAAAAAUACCCUCAUUAGUUUAUUACAUAAGCUAGAACUCAGCAACAACCAAAUGGGAUAUAUAGGGCAAGGUAUAGGAGAAAAGAUAUACAACUUCCACGUCCCCUCCAUGUAUACCACCCUCCUAGCACUUUAAUGUGUUCACCAACCUGGAAGCUUUUUGAACCCCAUUGUUUACACGUAUUUAAAGGUUUACAGGUUUUUUUAAAGGUUCCAUUAUGUAGGUGUGAUUGGCUGAAUCAUUGGCCAUAGGUGAUGAACUCAAUCUCUAGGUCCAUGGGUGGGACUGAAAGUUUCAGGUCUCUAAUCACAUGCUUGAUAUUUCUGGCAACCAUCCCCCAUCCUGAAGCUGUGUAGGGACAUACACAGAGUCACCUUCUUAGGAUAAACUCAGAUGUGCUUGAAAGGAGAUUUUUUUUAUGAAUUACAAAAAAUAUUCCUGUUAUCCCUAUCACUCAGGACAUUCCAAAGGUUUUAGAAAAUAUGUAUCAGCAACUGGGGACAAAGACCAAAUAUGUAUUUCUUAUCACACUAGAGUCCUAAGUUUGUAAAGUCAAGGAUCACUGCACUUUUUUAUUAAAUUUUAUUUCGCAAACAUUUACAUACACAGAAAAAAGUAUAAAGGAAGAUAAAGCGAAUGCAUGUAGCCACCACACAGCUUAAGUAAGUGAAAUAUUAUCUGUAUAUUUGAAGUCCUCUGUGUUUUUCUCUCUGAUCAUGUCCUACUUCUUUUUUGCCUCUUCAAGAAGCCACUGUAAGGUAAGCUGUUUACCUUACAGUGCAUUUCCAACACAUCAACUACAUAUGCCCCUAGGCAAUAUGUAAUAAUAUUUUCUUGUGUGUUUUAAGAGCUUAUAUAACUAAUCUCAUACCAAUGUGUUCUUUGUUAACUUGCCUUUUUCCCUUAAUAUUUAUGUUCAUGAAAAUCCUUCACACUGAUAGGUAUAGCUGUAUUUUAUUCCUUUUCUGUUAUAUAGUAUUUUAUUGUUUGAACACACCACAAUUUAUUCAUUCCUUUAUUCGUGGAUAUUUAGUUUUUUUCUAACUUUCUACUCUUUUAAGUCCUUAUACCCCAUAAUUUAUUAUAGAUGAAAGGUAAUCAGUAAAUACACUAUAUAAUUUUUAUUUCAAAUUAUAAGUUAUCAUUAUAUUACCAUCUCAUAUGGAAAGCUGUUCAUCUCAUUUAGCUAACUGUGUUUUUCAGUUUCAAUGUCUUUCAUAGUGAGGUGUUAUAACCCCAAACUCAGCGACCCUCCCCUGUAUUUUCCAGUGGUCAAAUUUCAAGCUGAAAUCACAAACAGAAAGAGUGAGAGCUAGCGUUGAGGUGAAUUUUUUCAGAGCUUUAUAGUAAAUUAAAGGUCCAAAGAGAAUUUGAUUAGGAAUUUAAUGAUAGGACUUAACUUGCGGUGAAACAUGGCUACUGAAUGCCAUUUCUCAGCACACAAACACUGCUAUUUUGCAGUCUGUCUGCAUUACCUUCUAGACGGGACUUAACUUGUAUUUAUAUUUGAGUUAUUUAUAAAUAAAUCACUACUUGCAUGGCUCAUUUUCUAUAAGGAACACUUCCAGAAUUGCUUUAAAGACAGCAAUUGGCUUGUGGCUGUUAUUACUCAGUGCUCCACAAGACAGGCCCCCUGUGGAUGCUGAAGGGCAAAGAACACUUGCUGCCACUCUGCUGUGCUCUACAUGGGUGUAUGCUUUGCUUUUCUGGCAUGGCUUGAUUUAACCUACUGGGAAAUCCACCCAAUUGGCUUAGAUCUGUUAGAGUCUCUCAAUACUGGGUACAGACUGUGCGGAGAAUACAAAUGUGCCAAUAAAAAAAAUAGCUUCACCGAUGACUAGUUUCCCCCCUUCCCCAUAUUUCUGAGUUGUGUUGCAAAUCAAAUAGACAAAUGUAGAAAUUCAAAUGUCUGUGUGACUUUUUGUUGUUUGGCAUUUAUCUCAGCGAAUGAGGAGAUGAUGUCAUAUCACAGGAGAGGUGUGAUGAUAAGUGUGAGGACAAGUCAUUCCUUAACAAGGGAAGAUUAAUGUGCUGUUCUAAAAUGGAACUAUUACAUGUGCUGUUUACUCAAAAGGAGUAUGAAAAGUGAACAAAUGGAGCUGUCAGACAAAGUGCUGAUGACAUACAAAAUAUUGAAAUAAACAGCUGAUGAUGCAUGAAGCAUUGAAAAACAUGUUGAUACCCCUGUUGGCUCCAUUGCUCAUUUAUUUCCAUGUGAUUGUCCUCUUCGGAAUGUGAUAUAGCUUUUGCUCUGUUAACAGUCUUCCAGGUUGGGUCUUCAGAGUGACAAGGAGUCAAGGAGUUGGGCAAUUUUCCAUUGACUAUAAAUUAAGAGAGAUAACAAAUUAAAAGAACUCAAAAAAGGGAAAGCGGUUUUCAUGGUUCACAAGAAAUUAUUUUUGACUGAAAAUUAAUUAAAUCAGUCAUCAUGAUUAUGGAAAUGGCUAGCUACUCAGAAAUCUGUUCCGUUUUCUAUACACACACCAUGAACACAUCGCUCAGCAUUCUUUGCAGUUGAGUUAGGGCCAUGCGCCUAGUUUAGACAAAGACGAUGUGCAUGUAAGUAUUGAAAGUCAACUCCAGACUUAGCACCUAAAAUCUGCUGUGAGAUCCUUCAUUUGUUUGCUCUGUCUGGAAGUGAAAGACUCCAAAAUGGCAAAACCACAUAAUGGAAGGAACUCAGAUCCAUGAGUUCUCGCCUGAAGAAGAGGCAGCCAUGAAAGCUGCCGAAUGCAUAAGAACUUUCUAUGCUCAAGAAAUAAAACUUUAUAUUGUCAACAAUAAAAUGUGGGUGUUUGUUCAAGCAACUAGCAUUUCUAUCACAAUAUUGUAAGCAAAUAAGUUUCAUUAAAAUUACAUUUUUUGUUUUAGAUAAGUUAUAUGAUCUACUAGGUUUUAGAUUUCUUUAGUUAAUAGAACUUUAAUUGGAUAUUCCUACAACUGAAUCGAAACAAUGCAGUUUAAGAGGAACAGACAAUGGAUUUCACUUACAAAAAGGAGACUUUAUGACUCACUUGAGUUUUGAUUUCUGUUUCUCAGAAAUCCUACAGUUUCUUAUCAUUCAGAUCAAUCCUUUGUAAAUAAUUUUUUGUAGUUUCUAGAUCACUUUGGCCUCUAAAAUACAAUAAAUCAUUAGAAAUGAAUGAUAGUUUUAAAACUUUCUGACAGUUAUAGGAAGAAAUCAUAAAAUUUAAAAUGGGCCAAAAAGAUUGUUUAAGCACAUCCUUCUGGGUUAUUCCAUUCUAUGGUUCCAUGGAUUCUCUAUUUCUUUUGUUGUCUUUGAGCUACUUUAUAACUCUUUCAGUUGCAGAUAACUAAUAACAAUGCAAAUGAUUCUUGUCCAUAGACAUACAAAAGAAUUUUGCAUAGUGAAAAGAAGAUUGCCCUCCCUGGUGCAUGACAUCGAUCCCUCCCACAGAAUAAGUCAGUUUUGUAUCUAUUUAUAACUGUAUUUCAGUAUUAUUGUCUUUAUAUGUGUGGUUCUUUGAUUACUCUUUUGAUCCAUUUAUAGUAUCCUAUGGAUUGCCUCAUUAAUUGAUGGAUUAAAUAAAAUCUUUGAUGUGUUCAUUUUAUAUUUGUAUGGGAGUCAUGAAUAUGUCCUCUUUUUAAAAUCACCCUUUAACAGUUUUGGAGGUCCCGUCAAGAUGCCCAGGGAAUUCACCUGCCGUAGUCUGGUAAUAUCAUUGCCUAAUCCCAAAACCUCUUGCUCAACUCCCAGUGGUUGAAUCCCAAGUGGCAAUAGAACUAUAAUUCAUUCUCUUUUUCUGGAAAAUUUUUUUCCUUUCCAGUGAUUUUGUGUUUUGUUUUUUGUUUCUGGAUUGUACACGACUGACGUGAGUUAUGAACCACUGGUGGCAGCAGUUACUGGAAAUUUGGUUUAAUGGUCUGUUUUUGAUCUCUGUAGUUGAGUGAGAGAGAGAGAAUCUGGUUUGUUGUUCUUUGUAUUUGUUGAUUUAUUUAUUUUUCAGCUUAAAUUACUGCAGAAUUUUGUGCACUGAGGAGAAGUAUAAUUUUAAUAUCUGGACUAUUAAGGUUGUGUUUCUCUCUUUACAGCUGACUUGUAGCUAAAGUUUUAAAUCUGAAACUAAGCACUUUAUGAGCCUGUAUGUCUAUAUUUCUUUGAUUCAGAAAGGUUUUUACUUCUUGUUUUGGUGUAAAAUAUCUUCCUAGAGGAUAUUUAAUAAAUUAGAUUGUGAAGUCUCUCAAAGGAGUUUUGCUCUGAUUAUCAGCACAAAAAUUGAGCACUACUAAAAUUUUAGAAAAAUAAUAAAUUUUAAACUUCUAAUACUUUAAAUGUACUUGACUUUAAAAAUUCUUAUAGAAACUGAAAAGAAAUUCUUACAGAAACUAAGUUAGAAAUAUUUUAAGAAUUCAGGUUUAUGUAAUAAAGGUUAAUCUUUUGUAAGUGAGACUAGAUCAAUAAUUUUGGCUUAAUAAAAAGAGCUAUGUCUUCUCUGAGUUAUCAAUGUUAAGUAAAAUAUAAGCAUGUUUGUCUUUUAGGUUUGUGUUUUCUAUGCUGAUACAGGUUUACUGAUCAAAUAAAACAGCAUUACUAUCAUAUAAAGUUUAAGAUUAUGAAACAAGUAAAUUUGUAUUCACCAGGAGUAAUGUUUGUGACAAAAGUUUAUUUUGACAGUAAUUAUGUUUUAUAGUGUGUCUGCUUGAAGAAAAUUUCCAAUAUCUGUAGUUAACUUAUCUUGAAUUGAUAUUAAAUUGAUGGUUAAUCAUUGGAGACCUCGAAAAUUUCUAAGUAAUACAGGUGCUGGUUACUAACCAUAUUUAAGUUCAUGUACUUUAUUCUCAUUUGUAUGUGCUAUUGAGAAGUCACUGGUGCAUUAAUGCAUGUGUUUACUUUUGCCACUUUGAGAAAGUAUCUAAAAUACUUGUAUGACAUUAGAAAGUUGUGUGAUGUGUGCCCAUGUGCUUUACUCAUCCACUAAAAUGCUUGCAUAUGACAGACAGUUAUUAAUGAGCCACUUCCCACCCCAGUUUUCUCUGUGAUUAUUUAUUGAAGAGGUUAAUUAAUAUGAGUGAUUGAAACUACACUGGGAAUGAUAACAGAGAAAUGCAUCUGUUUGUACUUUAGAGGAAAAGAGUGUUUUUGUUUUAAAGUAGCAGUUUUCAGGGUUUGUUUGUUUGUUUGUUUAUUUUUCAGUUCCUGAACCCAUUUCACCCUUAUACUCUUGAGAUUCAUUGAAGAUCCCAAGGAGUUUCAGCUUAUGUGAAUUAUAAAUAACAAUCUUAACCAUGUGAGGAAUUGAAACAGAAAUUAAAAAAAAAUGCUUAUUGAUCCAUGUUAAGAUCACAAAGAUGAAUGCAUUGUAUAUGAAUGUAAAUAGUAUCUACUAUGAAACAAGUUAUUACCUCACAAACAUUCUGAGAUAUGUCCACGUUAAAACAUGAGUUUGCUCCAUAAUAUGAACAAACAUAAAGGUUGAAAUUUGAAAAGUGAAUUUUUUUUGGCUUUGGUUUAUAAUACUGCAUCUUAAAAAAGCUAUGAGGGGCACCUGGGUUGCUCAGUUGGUUAAGCAUCCAAUUUUGGCUCAGGUCAUGAUCUCACAGUCCGUGGGCUCCAGCCCCGCAUCAGGCUCCGUGCUGACAGCUCAGAACCUGGAGCCUGAUUUGGAUUCUGUGUCUCCCUCUGUCUCUGGCCCUCCCCAGCUUGCACUCUGUCUCUGUCUCUCUCUCUCUCUCAAAAAUAAAUAAAUAUUAUUUUUUUUUAAAAAAGCUAUGAAAUAGGGGCGCCUGGGUGGCACAGUUGGUUGAGCUUCUGACUUCGGCUCAGGUCACGAUCUCCCGGUCGAGGAGAUCGAGCCCUGCGUCUGGCUCUGUGCUGACAGCUCAGAGACUGGAACCUGCUUCAGAUUCUGUGUCUCCCUCUCUCUCUGCCCUUCCCCACUGAUGCUCUGUCUCUCUCUGUCUCAAAAAUAAAUAUAACCAUUAAAAAAAAUUUUUUUUAAGCUACGAAAUAUGUUGUAGUGUUAGCAGAGCCUACUCAGUGAGUUUGCUGCCUUGGUUUACUGAUUGUCUUCACCUGCAAUAUGAAAGGUUAUUCUUAAACUUUUUAAAGUUUAUUGAUUUUGAGAGAGAGAGUGAGUGUGAGCGAGGGAGGGGAAAAGACAGAGGGAGAGAGAGAAUCCCAAGCAGGUCCUGUCAGGGAAGAUCCUGAUGAGGGGUUGGGUCUCAUGCACCGUGAGGUCAUGACCUGAGCCAAAACCAAGAGCUGGACACUUCAUGAGCUGGGGCACCCAGGCACCCCGGAAUGUUAUUCUUUACCUUCUGUGUAGUCUAUAUAGAUUAGCAGAGACUCUGUAUUUUACCAAAAAUAAUUUUCUGUGCUUUUCAUUGACUUAUUUGACUUACUUUCAAGGACAUAUUUCUUUAUUAUGCAAAAUGAAAAAAGAAUGAACGAAGGUUCCUCACUUACGAAAGAGCUAAGGUUUCUAGAAGCAUCCUACUUUCCAUGUUUAUUUUUAAAUGUUUUAUUGUUCCUGUACUUAAACAGGUAACCAAGAGAGUGCCCCAGAUUUCCUCCUAAACAUUUCACCUUCCAAAUUCAGGUCCUAAAUGUAGAAAAAAUAAAAUAAAAUUUUCAGCAUAUCUUGUACUCCCAAACUAUCUUUGGGAUUUCCCAGAGGGUUCCUGAAAAAUCACAAAGAUUUGUUCUUUUGCUUAUAAAAAAAAGAUGCUAGAGCUAUUUAGAUCUUUUUGCUACCCUGUUAUAAGAGUUGUGGAGCAAAAGCUGUCAAAUUAGAAGAGACAUUCAGUCUUCCCUAGGUUAAGUUUGCAAAUAUUUCAGAAAUCAUAUGCUUCAUUUGAAGUCCCUUGUCUGUCAGUGUUUUGCUUUCCAUAAUAUAUUUUAACCUCUCAUGAAACUCUGAUCAAAUUUCUUAUGAAAUAGUCUGUCAGAUUUUGUAUAAUUGUCAGAGUCCUAGACUGUUUUAUGUGAUGAUGUGAAGCACCAACUAUAGCAUUAUCUGUCACUUUUCAGUUUUUACUUUGCCACAGCUUUACUUUUUUCAUUUGAGUCUGUUGAAAAAGACAGUUGUCCCAAGGUUUCUUAUGCCCUUGUGUGUCUUGCUGGGAAUGCAAAAAUUUCAAGGCCCUGACUGCCCUUUCACCCUGCCACUUCUCAGGGCCGUGUUCUCAUGAUUCACUUUAAGAAAGAAGUAAUAUUUCUUUCUGAGACAAAAAUUAAGGCUUGCUUACUGCUUUCUAUAGAAGCAAUGGAUUUCCCCAAACUCAGUGUUCUUCAGAUCGUAACAUAAACCCUCUGCCUGCACAGCAUCCAUCUGGGCUUUCUCUGUCACCCCAGUGGGAUCUGGGGAUCUUAUGCAAUUUUAUGUUCAUAUGCUUGUUGUGAUAUGAGGAAUAAAGUCCUUUGUCUCUGACCAAAGAGUCUCAUAUCUUCUGUCAGAAUCCAUAAGAAGGUAACAGGAUAUCUCAGUAGCUUUCAGGUAGGGUGAAAUCAAAUCCCACACUGAACAAAAGCUAGCAUCUUCUAGGCCAGUGGUUCUCAAGUGGAGAUGAACAUCACACUUAGCCAAGAAAUUUUACACAUGUUUAGACCCUACUACUGACUUGCUGAAUCUCUCUUCUUGAUAUUCUUGCUAUAUUCUUCAUAUAUGAAAUAUUAUUUCUCAGAAAUAUUGUUGCUAUAUCUUUUUUUCCCUUAAAACUAUUCUAUUUGUUUAUAUCAGAUAUAGCAUUUAAUGACAUCUUUGAAAACAGACUUAAUCAUUACUCUUAGAGACUUAUAUUUUGGAAGACUUUGUCAUCUUUGGUUUUGAUGUCAUAGAAAUAGUCAUACUGCUGUUAAUUGCAUUAUUCCUAUCAGAAACCUCAUCCAAUUUUCACAUUUGAAAAUUGUAAUAAAUUAACCCCAGUAAUUAGUUCUCUGUCAUCUACAGAUAGUAUUUGUUUUACUCUGACGCUUGCUUGUAUGGAGGCUCAGCUGUAAGCUACAGGAAAAAGUUUGUGUCCAACAAAGGAGAGUUUCAGAGCCUCAAGAAAAAGGACUGUACUUCAAACUGUUGAUGUAUCUGGGCUGAUCUUACAUUGCUCAGAGUAAGGGUCAGCAAAUUAUGGCCUGCUGGACAAAUAUAUCCAUUGUCUGUUUCUGUAAAUAAAAUUUUAUCGAAACAUGGUCACAUACACUUAUUUAUGUGUAUUGUCUCUGGCUAAUUUUUUUGCUACGGUGAUGGAAUUGAAUAGUUGUAAUAGAGAACAUCUGGCUUGCAGACCUUAAAAUAUUUACUAUCUGAGAUUUUACAGAAAAAGUUUGCUCUCAGACUAUACCUGUAGAUGGGUCUAGAUUUUCAUGACUGCUUUUCAUUGAAAGUAGAUGGCUUAAUGACACUGGUAAUGUGAGAUCAAGGAGAUCAAGAAUUAAUUAAAUAGGUCUGAAUGAAUUGAUGAUGAAAUUUUUAUGACAGUAAAUUUUUGUAAUAUUGUAUUUUUCUGUUUUCUGGAUAGAUGAGGGAGUCCUAUCUUUUUAAAAGCUAUUUAUGCCCCACAGUAAUUUAGUAAAUGCUGCUUUUGUAAACUAAAAUGAAAAAUUGUAAGUAAUAGCUGAUUCUCUCAGACUUUCUGGAAUUCCAAAGCACUUAGUCUUUACUUUUGGUGAUAUGAUAGUUAUGUGUAUAGUUAUGUGUAUAGGUUCAGUAAAAAUCUGUCCUCCAUUUUCCAUGAUUAUAAUUGGACAAAACAAUUAUACAACCAAUGCCUUGCUUGAAAUGUCACUUUUGAAAAUAAUACACUUUUAAUCAAACAUGACAAGUCACCCUUAAAGAACUAAAGUUGAUUUUACAUAUGGAGCCAAUGGCUAGAAUGCAUCCUCAGGAAUAUUGACUCUCAGAAUUCCAGUCCUACAGGUAGUAAGAUGGUCACUUCCUUGCAGCAUGGGCUCUGAAAAAUUUGGGGACCCUUAGAACAGAGGAAUCCAUUUAAAUUUAUAAGGUACUGGAGAUGAAAUCUGGAGUAGAUAUUUUCUUGGGUUUGAUUCUCCAGUCUUAGAAGAAUAAAUGAGAUGUUCAUAAAGGUCAGACCAGAGAUUCCGUAUGAAAACUUUCAGACAGAAGUUAAGUUUAAAGCCUUGGUGGUUGCUUGAUAUUGUACAGUUCUAGGUUGGCAAAAUAAGCUCAAAGAGAUUUAUUAACACUCUUGUUGCGCCUGUGUAAAUAAUCAGGCCAAACAUAAUGGGAUCACCAUUUUUUGUGUGAUGAAGGAUAAUCCUUCUUUGAGAUAAUUAUGAUCUUAAAAUGGAGGGUGACUAGAGACUGUAUUAAUGUCUUGCUGCUGCUGUAAAAAAUGUAUCAUGAAUUUAGUGACAACAUAUUUAUUAUCACAUUAUAUAGUUAUGAGGUCAGAAGUCAGAAAUGGGUCCCAGUAGGCUAAGAUGAAAAUGUAAACAAGCCUGCAUUUCCACUGAGGCCCUAGGGAAUAAUCUGUUUCCUUGUCUUUUUUUUUUUUUUCCCGGAGGCUGCCUGAGCUCCUUGGCUCAUGGCCUCCUUCCUCCAUUUUCAAAGCCAGCAGUUAUACCAGCUCAACCUCUGCUUCUAUCAUCACCUCUUCUCUGAUUCCAAUUCUCCUAACCCUGUCUUUUCUUAUAAAGAUCCUUGUGAUUACAUUGGGCCUGUCUGGAUAAUCCAGGAUAAUCUUCCAGCCUCAGGAUCCUCAAUGUAAACACAUCUGUAUGAUCUCUUUGACCAUGUACAAGUAGCAUAUUCAUUGGCUCUGGGGAUUAGGACAUGGACAUUUAGGGGCCAUUAUUCUGUCUACCAUAAUGUGACAAGUCCGAAAUGGGCUGGAAAGAUUACCGAGUAUCUUCUUGAAAACUAAGUGUUGCCUGGUUAUUUGAUUUUUAUGGCAUUUCUGCAGCAUUCAUUGCCUUUAAGCUUUGGAACAACUCUGUAAAUUGCAGGUAACUGAUACAAAGCAGAGGAUUCUUGAAUAUAGACAUCUAAGUGCAUUUUAUCCCAUGGAAAUACAAUGGAUUUCCCAGCAGUACCACAACAAUCUUCAUGGAAUAAGCCAAUUUUGUAAAUUCAUUUCACCAUUACCACUUAUAAAGGUUUAGUUCUUUGAAAUCCCCUUUGAACUAAUUAUAACAUCUUUUUGGUUUCCUCAUUAAAUAAUAAAUUACAGUCUUUGACAUAUAUUCAUUUUAUAGUCUAUGAAAGUUGUGAUUAUACCCUCUCUUAACAUGUAGCAUUUAACAUGGAGAUUCACAAUCAUAUACAAAAAUAGAUAGGAUAGGAAAAAAAGUUUCAUCACUUAACCCCAAUAAUAUCAAGCUAAAGUCAGUCCUGUUCUUUCUACACUUUCUUCCGGUUUCCUCUGUCCUGUUAUUCUGAAGUGAAUUCCAGAGACCAUAUUAUCUUAUCCAUAAGUAUUUAUUAUGUCCCUUUAAUUAUAAGGAAUCAUUUAACAUAACCACAAUACUAAAAUCUCACCUAAAAUUAAUAAUUUCUUAAUAUAAUCAAAAUGUCCAGUGUUCAAAUUUCUGAUGAGAUUUAUUUACAAAUGACUUUUAUCUGUUGUUGUUGUUGUUGUUGUUGUUGUUGCUGCUGCUGUAACUUAAAAAUCCAGGACAGGGGCGCCUGGGAGGCUCAGUCGGUUAAGCAUCUGACUUCAGCUCAAGUCAUGACCUCACGGUCUGUGAGUUCAAACCCCAUGUCAGGCUCUGUGCUGACAGCUUGGAGGCUGGGGCCUGCUUCAGAUUCUGUGUCUCCUUCUCUCUCUCCCCCACUUGUGCUUGCUCUCUCUCUCAAAAGUAAAUUAAAAAAAUAAAAUAAAUACAAAAAAAUAAAAUAAAAAUAAAUAAAUAAACCCAGGACACAAAUAAGAUUCAUACUUUGAGAUGUUUUGAUAUAUAUAUGUUAAGUCUCUCUUUUUUGAAACUAUUUUAUUGAUGUGUAUUCUCUGUGCAAUAAAUCGCACCUACUUUAAGUGUACAAUUUGAUGAGUUGUCUCAAUAUCUUUUAUUUAUUUUUAUUUAUUUAUUUUUUAACAUUUAUUUAUUUUUGAGACAGAGACAGACAGAGUAUGAACGGAGUAGGGUCAGAGAGAGAGAGAGGGAGACAAAGAAUCUGAAGCAGGCUCCAGGCUCCAACCUGUCAGCACAGAGCCCCACUCGGCGCUCGAACUCACAGACGGUGAGAUCAUGACCUGAGCCGAAGUCGGAGGCUCAACCGACUGAGCCAAUCAGGAUAUCCAUCCCUCCCGAGCCUCAUACUCCCUCAACCUCAAAGAAACUGGAAUAAAUAUUGAUAGAAAAAGAACAAAAGAACAAAGGUUUCUAUAUCAAGUCUUAAAAUGUUUCCCUUGAAAUAAUAACAAGAGCACUUGUAUGAGCACACUGUAGAUGAAUCCAAUGUGCCAGGUCAUGCUUUGGAAGGCUGAGUGUGAGACCAGUAAGAAACCCAUAACUCUCUGUUCUACCCAGUGGUUACCUGACUCUGUGUUUAUGUGCAUAAUGAUAGGUUCUUACAUUCUCAUCAGUAGCCAGCAUGCCUGUUAUUCUGUUUAUACUUAGAGUGAUACCAGAAGUAUCACUUUUCUGUUGAUUAAUUUAUAUUGUCUAAUUCUGUAGCAUGUUGCUAUGCUCCCUGUCCCUCUUAAUUACUUAUUGUGACAAUUAACCGACUAAAAACAGUUUCUCUCGCAAAGAUUUCCAGAGGGAAAAACAAAAACAUAAAAAACAUUGUAAAUGAUGCCAUUUUCUGCCUAAGCCUCUCUUGAGUCCCAGCCAUGAUCAUGUUACUUGUUACAACAGAUCUGCUGGCAAACAAACUCUGAGGGCAACGCAUUGAGACACUGCAGACCUUUAAAUGUGAAGAAUUUAGUCCUAAACAUGUGUUUGUGGGCAUGUGCAAUAUUCACUCCUUUUAGAAUGUCUCAGACUGACCCCAAACAACCUUUUUAUGGAAUCCUACCCUCAAGGACUAGUAUUAGUUAUAUAAUUGCCCUACUAUUACCCUGUCUCUCAGGGUGUAAGUCUGCCUUUGAGACCAUUGUAGUAACUUAAAAUAUUUGUUAACCAGCAAGUAGACAGACUUAGGAUAAGCUCCUAUUCUAGGAGGCCAUAAAUUUUCCAUUGUACCCGUAAUGUCCAAUUUAACCCCUCAAUAUUUCUCUCAACAACUUUUUUUCCUAUCAAAUCUCAAUAGCAAAAGCAAAACAAAACAAACAAUAAUUGAGAGAAAGAAUUGAGAUAGUCUAACGAGAAUACUUCUCUGAAGUUUUAUUACAAUUCUAGCUAGGAAAAAAAUGUAUAUAUAUGGAUAUGUGGUGCUGUUAGGAUCUCUGUGGCAUGUGAAUUAGAGAGCACUUAUAAGAGAGCUUUGUGAGGUGUACCUGGGGAGGAACAUUUGGAUUAAAUAAUAAAGAAAGAUAACACAUUGAUCCAAGCUAUUAUUUGUAUUUUUAAUUUGCACAUUAUGUAAAACUGCUCCCCUCAGAUUUUGGAGAAGCUUGUUAACAAUUCCCCACAGGACUGCUGGGUUAACUCCUCUGGGGUUGUAUUUAGAGAAUCCACCUUCUUAACAGGCUAUUGUAAGUGUGGCUCUGGUUCAGGGAAGUUUGAGGACCACUAUAUAUGCUAAAAUAGUGAAUAGAAAUAUUCAUUGAGUGCUAUGUGCUGUACUGGAUGCUGAAACGCAAGAAUAAAUUAAUCAGACUCACUUUGAGAAUUCCCAAAGGCAAGUUAUAACACCAAAGAAAGUGAACACAGUUUUGUAUCCCUAUAGAAUUUAUUCAAACUGUACCACUUGAGAACUGAGGUUUUAAGUAGGUUAGUUUUAGCUACUUUAAGUGGAAAUGGAUUUUCUUAUCAAUUAAAUUAAUCUGAAUAAUUUAUUUAAAAGGUUCUAAAAUCUGAAUAAUUUAUUUAAAUAAAUUUAUUUAAAAGGUUUACUAACAAUUACAGUAAGAAAGUUUUGAAAAGUUGUCUGCCUAAGCCAGUCUAAGAUGUUUUGGUAGGCAAAGUUGUGUCUUUGGGGCCCCGUAUUUUCCUUUCUUUGUCUCUAGCAUCUCCCCAAUGUUUCUUCAAGGCUCCCGUGACCUCCUGGCCCUUCCUUUGCUCUCCUGUCAAAAUUGCUCAAAUGAUAUGGGUAUAAUGAGAGUGCUAAGAUGGUAGUCAAGAGAAAUGGGUUUGCACUGUGCCUCUGAUACUAAAUAAAUUAUAUGGCUUUGAGCAAGUUCCUUGAACUCUCUUUGAGUUUCCUUACCUGAAAAAAAAUAAAGGGUAGAGUUUUAGGAGCCGUGAUAUGUUGUCCAGUCCUCUUUCUAUGAUUCAUUGAGUUGUCUGUGCAUUGCACUUUAAGAUGAGGAUGGAGGUCUUCGUUUGGCAGGAGGAGAGAUUGCAUGAAGAGGAGUCACGGAUGUAUUGCUUAUGAAUUUUGAGCAGGGAUCUCAGCAGGGUUCUUUAGAGCUAGUGAGGAGUCAGAGCACUGGGUCUGAGUAAGCUUAGCUCUACCUCUGACUUGGUGUGUGAAAUAUGAACAUAUCCCCUGGCUUCCCUGGGAUUUAUUUUUCUCACUUUGGGGUGGAGACAGCAAUCACAACCUUUCUCGUGGUGUCAUUGACAUUACCGAGGGGAUGAGAAGAUGUUUGUAAGGAACAUGGUGGGCAUUCCAUAAAUAUGUCUCUAUUCACUGUGAAGGUGCAGUUUAUUCAAUGCCUCGCUUUACCUUCCCAAAGUUGGUUUAUUUAACAAGCACACAGAGAACUCCUAAUAUUCUAGGAACUAAUCUAAGAGUUUGAUUUUAACAGUAACUCUAUUAAUCCUCAUAACAAGACUGCAAGGAGCUAUUAUGAUCCCAUUAGACAGUUAAGGAAUCUAAGACUCAUAAUCUGCCCACAGUCACCCUCAUAGCAAGCAAGUCUGGGUCCACAGCCUGUGCUUUCAAUCAUUGUUCUCCCAGCUUAGAAGGUCAGAAAACAAGAAAUGGAAUGGAAUGCGGGCAAGUCAACUGUGUUAUUUGUCAAAGGCUGCAUAAAUUUGGUGUAUCAGAAAGAUAUCAUAGUAAUUUAGAAAACGUCUAAAAUUGUAAAUGUUAACCUACAAAUAGUCCAACCACCAGGUGUUGCUUUUGAAGAGACAUUAGUCCCUUAGGAAUAUUUACACAGCAUCUUAAAUAUGUAUAGCAACCCUUCGCAGUAAAACCAAAGGGGGAGGACAUUCAGAAUCUUGAGAUAGGAGUUGCAACAUUUCUUAAACACUCUCUUUCCUGCAUGGCUUCCCAUCUCACUUCUUCUAGGAGUGGUGCUCACAAAGGUCUCCCCUGCUGGUCUUCUAACUCCUAAAAAUCUUCCCCAGCUCAACAGAAACAACAGCCUACCUGCAGCCCCAGGUGCCUUGCCUUCUCUCUCUUUAUUAUUUAUAUCAUUAUGCAUUAUCUUAUUUUCUUAAAUCCCUUUUAAGAGACUUAAGGAAUACUCUAAGAGAGUACAAAUGUAGCAUGCUGCAAGGAUAGGUCUUGUUAUAGAAGUAAUCACUAAGGCCUGUUGCUUACCUGGUUUCCCUUAGUCUUGUGCAUGGAAUCUUGACUGUGAUGGUCAGGUUUUCUUUUAGCUGGAGAUUUUACUGGGGCUUCUGGGUGGCUCUGUCUGUUAAGCGUCCACAUCCUGAUUUUGGCUCAGGUCAUGAUCUCACGGUUCGUGAGUUUGAGCCCCAUGGCAGGCUCUGAGUUGACAGCCUGGAGCCUGCUUGAGACUUUUUCCCUCUUCCUCUGUCUCUGCCCGUCCCCGACUUGCUCUCAAAAAUAAAUACAAAUUUAAACUGGAGAUUUUAGAAAACAUGAAAAUGAUUUGCUAAGAAUAACUAUGGAUAUGAACUACUGUAUCUACCAUUUAAGAUAUGAUAAAACCCAGCACAAUUAUUCACAAUAAACCGAAUGAUCAUUAUUUCUAAUAUGAAUUUCCAGUCUUGUCUUGGGAGCAAA